AAUCACUCAGUCCAAAACAAACCAGUUGGCGAUCACAUAAAUUUAGGCUGAUAAAGAUUGGUAUUCAAGGUUUUCGUCUCGUGUAGGCAAGAGUUGAAAUUGCCGAUGAACACCCAAUAUCCUGAGUUUCACAACAGCUUUAGAAAUGUAGGAAAACACGUUUAGCUACAAUUUUAUUCCGAGUCGAAGGGUGGAUGAAGUGAUCUAGUUUUACACAACUUCAAAAACAACGGAUCUUUACAUAUGUCAACAGAGGAAGUCGUGGUUUUAUUUCCGUCCAUCUCUGAAGUGCCGUUGGCACGUUUUAUGGGUUCUCUGCAAAAAGCGUUACUGGCGGAGAGAAUCAAGCUGUCGAAAAGUCAGGUCGCCGACGUUCUUACCGUGAAAGGUCCAGUACCGAGAACGGAGAGAGCAGAGUACUUCAGGUAGCGGCGGAAGAAGCUGAAAAUGAAGAUGUCAGUUACGACAACGAUGGCACAGACACAGGUCACAUGUAGACCACAGUGAUACCAAAGCAGACUCAGAUCCAUCAUACUGUGUCAGUGGAUCAAGCCUCCACCACACAUGCAGUCUGUGGCCAUAUGUUCAGGACAGGAUGAUGCACCUAGUGUCCACACGGGAGAGAAGCCUUACUCCUGCUCCGACUGCAACAAGACCUCCCAGACAGAACAUGAGGUCUGGAUUGUUCUGGUGGGGACGACUGGAGUUGGAAAGAGUGCAGCAGGAACCACCAUCCUGGGGAGGAAAGAUUUUGAAACAAAUGCAUCUCGUGACUGUUACAUCAGAAAG